AGAGUUUGAUCCUGGCUCAGGAUGAACGCUGGCGGCGUGCUUAACACAUGCAAGUCGAACGGAGUGCCCAUGACAGAGGAUUCGUCCAAUGGAUUGGGUUACUUAGUGGCGGACGGGUGAGUAACGCGUGAGGAACCUGCCUCGGAGUGGGGAAUAACACAACGAAAGCUGUGCUAAUACCGCAUGAUACAGUUGGGUCGCAUGACUCUGACUGUCAAAGAUUUAUCGCUCUGAGAUGGCCUCGCGUCUGAUUAGCUAGUUGGUGGGGUAACGGCCCACCAAGGCGACGAUCAGUAGCCGGACUGAGAGGUUGACCGGCCACAUUGGGACUGAGACACGGCCCAGACUCCUACGGGAGGCAGCAGUGGGGAAUAUUGCACAAUGGGGGAAACCCUGAUGCAGCAACGCCGCGUGAGUGAUGACGGCCUUCGGGUUGUAAAGCUCUGUCUUCAGGGACGAUAAUGACGGUACCUGAGGAGGAAGCCACGGCUAACUACGUGCCAGCAGCCGCGGUAAUACGUAGGUGGCAAGCGUUAUCCGGAUUUACUGGGUGUAAAGGGCGUGUAGGCGGGAUCGCAAGUCAGAUGUGAAAACUGGAGGCUCAACCUCCAGCCUGCAUUUGAAACUGUGGUUCUUGAGUACUGGAGAGGCAGACGGAAUUCCUAGUGUAGCGGUGAAAUGCGUAGAUAUUAGGAGGAACACCAGUGGCGAAGGCGGCUUACUGGACGAUAACUGACGCUGAGGCUCGAAAGCGUGGGGAGCAAACAGGAUUAGAUACCCUGGUAGUCCACGCCGUAAACGAUGGAUACUAGGUGUGGGGGGUCUGACCCCCUCCGUGCCGCAGUUAACACAAUAAGUAUCCCACCUGGGGAGUACGAUCGCAAGGUUGAAACUCAAAGGAAUUGACGGGGGCCCGCACAAGCGGUGGAGUAUGUGGUUUAAUUCGAAGCAACGCGAAGAACCUUACCAGGGCUUGACAUCCCACUAACGAAGCAGAGAUGCAUUAGGUGCCCUUCGGGGAAAGUGGAGACAGGUGGUGCAUGGUUGUCGUCAGCUCGUGUCGUGAGAUGUUGGGUUAA
rnacentral:rRNA from 1 species